GACGAACGCUGGCGGCGUGCUUAACACAUGCAAGUCGAACGGUGAAGGGGUCUGCUUUUGUGGGCCCUGGAUGAGUGGCGAACGGGUGAGUAACACGUGAGUAACCUGUCCCCUUCUUCUGGAUAACCGCAUGAAAGUGUGGCUAAUACGGGAUAUUCUGGGUCUGUCGCAUGAUGGGUCUGGGAAAGAUUGCGCCUUUGGGUGUUUUUGGUGGGGGAUGGGCUCGCGGCCUAUCAGCUUGUUGGUGGGGUGAUGGCCUACCAAGGCGGUGACGGGUAGCCGGCCUGAGAGGGUGGACGGUCACACGGGGACUGAGACACGGCCCAGACUCCUACGGGAGGCAGCAGUGGGGAAUAUUGCACAAUGGGCGCAAGCCUGAUGCAGCGACGCCGCGUGAGGGAUGGAGGCCUUCGGGUUGUAAACCUCUUUCGCCAGUGAAGCAGGCCUGCUCCUUGUGGGUGGGUUGACGGUAGCUGGAUAAGAAGCGCCGGCUAACUACGUG
rnacentral:rRNA from 1 species